rnacentral:rRNA from 1 species
UACGGGGGGUGCGAGCGUUGUCCGGAAUCACUGGGCGUAAAGGGCGCGUAGGUGGUUUGAUAAGGGUGUGGUGAAAGUCCGGAGCUCAACUCCGGAUCUGCCGUGCCGACUGUCAAACUCGAGGGCUGUAGAGGCAGACGGAAUUCCGGGUGUAGCGGUGGAAUGCGUAGAGAUCCGGAGGAAGAUCGGUGGCGAAGGCGGUCUGCUGGGCAGUUUCUGACACUGAGGCGCGACAGCGUGGGGAGCAAACAGG